GAGGGUACAGUGCAAUGGUAGAGCGUGUGCUUAACAUGCAUGACAUUCUGGGUUCAAUCUCCAGUACCUCCA
rnacentral:tRNA from 1 species